CUACGGGCGGUAGCAGUGGGGAAUAUUGGACAAUGGGGGAAACCCUGAUCCAGCAAUGCCGCGUGUGUGAAGAAGGCCUGCGGGUUGUAAAGCACUUUCGGUUGGGAGGACUGCUUCUAGCACUAAUAUUGUUGGAAGUUGACGUUACCUUCAGAAGAAGCACCGGCUAACACCGUGCCAGCAGCCGCGGUAAUACGGAGGGUGCAAGCCUUAAUCGGAAUUACUGGGCGUAAAGCGCGCGUAGGCGGCUAGAUCAGUCGGGUGUGAAAGCCCCGGGCUUAACCUGGGAACUGCAUCCGAUACUGUCUAGCUUGAGUACAGGAGAGGAGAGUGGAAUUCCACAUGUAGCGGUGAAAUGCGUAGAUAUGUGGAGGAACACCAAUGGCGAAGGCAGCUCUCUGGCCUGAUACUGACGCUUAGGUGCGAAAGCGUGGGGAGCAAACAGGAUUAGAUACCCCAGUAGUC
rnacentral:rRNA from 1 species